GGCUUUAUAGUCAAUAAUGAUAUUAGACUGCAAAUCUAAAGGAGUGGGUUUCUACUAAAGCUU
rnacentral:tRNA from 1 species